UGAGUUAAGAAAAGAAUUGGCAUUUUGAC
rnacentral:piRNA from 1 species